rnacentral:rRNA from 1 species
GUACUGGUGUUACUGGUUUCUACCUUCUGACGAACCAUCAUGUCAUUAAUUUGGUGUGGUGGGGAAUCAGGACUGUUACUUUGAAAAAAUUAGAGUGUUUAAAGCAGGCUCGCGCUUGAAUACAUUAGCAUGGAAUAAUGAAAUAGGACGUUGAUCCUAUUUUGUUGGUUUCUAGGAUUGACGUAAUGAUUAAUAGGGAUAGUUGGGA